GGAAACUAAAUACAUUUACUCAAGUACUGUAUUUUGAGUACUGUAAUUUGAGUAUUUUUAUUAUAUGCUCCUGGUCACACAUAUAUUCUAUACGUAAUUGUUAUGUGAUAUUAUUGUAAACGUGGAUAGACUUAGGCUAGAUGGGAAACAAUUUCCUCACAAUUUAUAGCAAUCGAACACAACUGCUGUCCAAUUUAGCUGACAGGUGAAAUUCAUAACAAUCAGUUCUCAAACACAUUUAUACUGCAAGGGUGAGACUGAAUGUUACAGCUGUGAAAUAUGGAGCACGCAGGAGACAGACAGGGCUCAGAGCCUGCCCAACCCCAGAGGAAGGGGCAUUAGAGUGCAGGGUGGCAUGGUGAGCAGGAAAUGAAGAGGGAGAGGGGGGCACAGAGGACGAGGAAGAGCCACAGAAAGGCAAAGACACAGAGAGAUCUCAAAUGAUUUACGGGCAACAGUUAUAGACCAAGUUGUCAACCAUGGCCUUAGGAUGACAGAGGCUGGCCAGAGAGUGCAGCCUGACCUGGGCCGGUCCACAGUGUCAUCAAUAGUCCAGACAUUCAAGAGAGAAAACAGGAUUGAGCGUCUGCCCCAUGGUGGUGGUAGAAGAUCAGUUUUCACUGCUCAACAAGAGGUUGAAAUUUGUAACAUGCUAGUAGCAAACAGUGCUAUUAGAUUAAAAGAUAUUCAAAUUGCAGUCGGCCAGACCAGCGUGGAGGGAACAGUACAGUGUGUGCUGCCAUAUGUGAGAAUGAUGUACUCAGCCACAUUCCCAUCAUUGGGCCCUAUAACACAACGUCUCCUCGAUUUCCUGGAAACUCUUUACAGGGAUCGUAGUCCUGAGAAUGAGAGGGGGUUGGUCACAAAUGACUUGCCAACGUAUGUUACAGUUUGGGACAACGUAAGCUUCCAUCGUUAAAACACAGUUAAGGAAUGGUUUGUGACCCAGCCACAUUUUUUUUAUGGAGUUUCUCCCACUAUACUCCCCAUUCCUAAAUCCCAUUGAGGAGUUCUUUUCAGCAUGGAGAUGGAAAGUAUAUGAUCACCGUCCUUGCGACCAGUUGUCCUUAUUGCGUGCAAUGGAUGCUGGUUGUGAGGUUAUUACAGCUGAUUGUUGUAGGGGGUGGCUGCGUCAUGCCAAAAGAUUUUUUCCCUCCUUGCAUUGCACGGGGGGAUAUCAGGUGUGACGUGGAUAAAUGUUGUGGCCAGACAGGAGAGAUUGGAUGACCCAUGAGGUUGAUAAAUUUGCAUGUUUUGUUUUUUCUUGAACAGACUGUACAGUAUUUGCUGAUAAUUUUGCUGUUUUUUUUUCUGCACAAGCUUUCUUUAUGUAUUUGUGGUUGGCUGGUGUGUACAUACAAUGAGAAAUAAAUGUUUUGAUGAAAGCA